AUGGUCCACCUCCAAGGGAGACAACCAGCUGUGUGUGAAGGAGGAUGUGCACUCCAGGGCAAGAAGAAAGAAAGGGGUCACCACCCGUUACGUUCUGCUGCAGAGCAGGGGCAGAGCCAAGAAGCUGGGGCAGAUUUUGGGAAGGCUGGUGGAAAUGGGUCCAGUGCCAGUGCCAUGGUUCAUAAUGAGAAGAAAAAUGUUCAUGAGCAACAGUAUCCACUAGACAACAUGGAGUUCCCUAGGCAGAGUUGCUGCAAACCAGAUUAACUGAUCCGUGCUGCAGAAGGAAAUUUGAAUCAGCUUUCCAGGAUAUCCAAGUUUACAGAUGAACUGAGAAAUUACUCUGACAUUUGGCAAAACUGAAGCUCAAACCUGAAAAAAGUCCAGCCUACCCAUGAAGCACUGAGAAAAUUAACAGCAAUAAGCGAGUGCACUAAGCAUAAAAGCAGUAGUUUCAAAUAGACGAGGCUAACAGAUCUGAGUUACUACAGUCAGAUUCACUACCAGUAGUCAAUACUGAUAUGUCAUGGCUCUUUCCACAUGACAGCAUUGUGUAUUUGGCUAAAACUAUAAUUGUUCUCAGAUGAGGAAACCUAAAGUGAGGAUGAAUGAAACUAUGAAAACUGCAGAAUGCUUUCAAGAGUUGCCAAACAGAUCAAUGUCAUAAAAAGUGAUUGAUUUAGACAACAAGAUUAACACCCAGAACCAUGAACCACUGUAUCUCUCAUUCAAAUGAAGAAAUGGUAGAUUUAGCAAAACAAAUAACUGGAGAAAUCCGCACUUACUGACCAAGUUAGUGUACACAAGCAAAAAUAAUUGAUAUGAACAAAGUUUUAUAUCAAGAUUCAAUUUACCAAUUAAAGAAAUGCAGCACAGACCCCGUUGUCAAACUAUGGAGCCUUCUUUCAUUGCACAUUUGGCUUUGCCAUCAGUGUCACAAAGAAGACAAAGUGCAGAUGAAUGCAACACAAGCAUUGCGUGAUUUGAUAAUGUUACACCAGGAGACUCAGAGAAAUAGUAUAAUAAUAUAUAGCUUAUAUGCUUGACAACUUGGUUUACAUGCAAGUACAGGCAAAGAUUUUUUGCCAGGGUUGCAAAACAGAAUCAAAAUAUUUUUGGAAAAUAAAUUAUCUGCUAUAAUCUCCA
rnacentral:lncRNA from 1 species